rnacentral:rRNA from 1 species
GAUGAACGCUGGCGGCGUGCCUAAUACAUGCAAGUAGAACGCUGAAGGAGGAGCUUGCUCUUCUGGAUGAGUUGCGAACGGGUGAGUAACGCGUAGGUAACCUGCCUGGUAGCGGGGGAUAACUAUUGGAAACGAUAGCUAAUACCGCAUGACAACAGUUAUUGCAUGAUAACUGUUUAAAAGGGGCAACUGCUCCACUACCAGAUGGACCUGCGUUGUAUUAGCUAGUUGGUGAGGUAACGGCUCACCAAGGCGACGAUACAUAGCCGACCUGAGAGGGUGAUCGGCCACACUGGGACUGAGACACGGCCCAGACUCCUACGGGAGGCAGCAGUAGGGAAUCUUCGGCAAUGGACGGAAGUCUAACCGAGCAACGCCGCGUGAGUGAAGAAGGUUUUCGGAUCGUAAAGCUCUGUUGUAAGAGAAGAACGAGUGUGAGAGUGGAAAGUUCACACUGUGACGGUAUCUUACCAGAAAGGGACGGCUAACUACGUG